rnacentral:rRNA from 1 species
GACGAACGCUGGCGGCGUGCCUAAUACAUGCAAGUAGAACGCUGAGGGAGGAGCUUGCUUCUCUGGAUGAGUUGCGAACGGGUGAGUAACGCGUAGGUAACCUGCCUGGUAGCGGGGGAUAACUAUUGGAAACGAUAGCUAAUACCGCAUAAUAGUAGAUGUUGCAUGACAUUUACUUAAAAGGUGCAAUUGCAUCACUACCAGAUGGACCUGCGUUGUAUUAGCUAGUUGGUGGGGUAACGGCUCACCAAGGCGACGAUACAUAGCCGACCUGAGAGGGUGAUCGGCCACACUGGGACUGAGACACGGCCCAGACUCCUACGGGAGGCAGCAGUAGGGAAUCUUCGGCAAUGGACGGAAGUCUGACCGAGCAACGCCGCGUGAGUGAAGAAGGUUUUCGGAUCGUAAAGCUCUGUUGUAAGAGAAGAACGAGUGUGAGAGUGGAAAGUUCACACUGUGACGGUAUCUUACCAGAAAGGGACGGCUAACUACGUGCCAGCAGCCGCGGUAAUACGUAGGUCCCGAGCGUUGUCCGGAUUUAUUGGGCGUAAAGCGAGCGCAGGCGGUUAGAUAAGUCUGAAGUUAAAGGCUGUGGCUUAACCAUAGUACGCUUUGGAAACUGUUUAACUUGAGUGCGAGAGGGGAGAGUGGAAUUCCAUGUGUAGCGGUGAAAUGCGUAGAUAUAUGGAGGAACACCGGUGGCGAAAGCGGCUCUCUGGCUUGUAACUGACGCUGAGGCUCGAAAGCGUGGGGAGCAAACAGG